GACGAACGCUGGCGGCGUGCUUAACACAUGCAAGUCGAACGGAAAGGCCCUGCUUUUGUGGGGUGCUCGAGUGGCGAACGGGUGAGUAACACGUGAGUAACCUGCCCUUGACUUUGGGAUAACUUCAGGAAACUGGGGCUAAUACCGGAUAGGAGCUCCUGCUGCAUGGUGGGGGUUGGAAAGUUUCGGCGGUUGGGGAUGGACUCGCGGCUUAUCAGCUUGUUGGUGGGGUAGUGGCUUACCAAGGCUUUGACGGGUAGCCGGCCUGAGAGGGUGACCGGCCACAUUGGGACUGAGAUACGGCCCAGACGCCUACGGGAGGAAGGAGUGGGGAAUAUUGCACAAUGGGCGGAAGCCUGAUGCAGCAACGCCGCGUGCGGGAUGACGGCCUUCGGGUGGUAAACCGCUUUCGCCUGUGACGAAGCGUGAGUGACGGUAAUGGGUAAAGAAGCACCGGCUAACUACGU
rnacentral:rRNA from 1 species